UGUCCUUUUGAUUAUAAUUUAAGGUCUAAUCUGCCCACUGAAAUUUUAAAUGGCCGCGGUAUUUUGACCGUGCAAAGGUAGCAUAAUAAUUAGUUUCUUAAUUAGAAGCUGGAAUGAAAGAUUGAAUGAGAAAAUAACUGUCUCAAUUUAAUUUAAUUAGAAUUUUAUUUUUAAGUUAAAAAGCUUAAAUGAAAAUAAAAGACGAGAAGACCCUAUAGAGUUUAAUUUUAUUUUUAAAUAAAAUUUUAUUGUUUUAAGUUUUUUUAUUUAAAAAUAAAAUUUUGUUGGGGUGACAAAAAAAUUUAAUUAACUUUUUUUAUAUAAAAACAUUAAUUGAUGAAUAAUUGAUCCAAAAAUUUUGAUUAUAAGAUUAAAUUACCUUAGGGAUAACAGCGUAAUUUUUUUUAAGAGUUCUUAUCGAAAAAAAAGAUUGCGACCUCGAUGUUGGAUUAAAGUUUAAUUUUGGUGUAGAAGCUAGAAAUUUAGGUCUGUUCGACCUUUAAAACUUU
rnacentral:rRNA from 1 species